rnacentral:lncRNA from 1 species
GUGUUUUUUUUUCCUGUUCUCUUCAACCAUUUCAGCACUGUUGGCCUCCUUUGACUCCCUCUUUUCCCUCAUGCCAAUCUUCUUCUCAUCACUUUCCUUUAUGACCGGAAUGGUUCUGUAAGUACUGGCCUUCUUUUCAUUAAUCUCUUUCUCUGGCACAACUGGAAUGGUCUUGCAGUUUUCCCUUGGAGGUUUCUUCCCAUCGUGUAUGCUCUUGGGCACAACUGGAGUGAUUUUAGGGUUUCCUUCUAGUAUCAUGUUGUCUUGAUGGCCAGUAACCACAGGUGAUCCGUUGUUGUGGUCUCCAGAACCAUUUCUGGCAGCCGAUUUCUGAUCAUGAUGAUGACCAUUCCCAAACCAAGAUAGAUGAAUGAUCUUGGGUGAUUGAGGAGACACUUCAGAAAUCUUUGGGGGAUUUUGGGGUCUCUUCUGUGUCAUUCAUCUCUUUAGCCUUUUGGUUUGGUGCAUCAUACCCUGCUGGCAUCCAAACUAUUGGCCACUGGAAUUGUUUCCCCUUCUCAUUAUCCUGCCCUUGUUGCUUCACAUCCCCUAACCACUUCCCACUCACAGGAGCCCAUUCAUUUAAAACCUGAGGUGACAAUUCAUAAUGCUCUCCAUUCUCCUUGCCUUUCAUAUUGCCUGAUGGCAGCCAUAUGAAUGGAUACUUCUUGUUUGGGUGUUGAAUUAUACUGUCACUAUCAGCAUUCUUAUAGAUAAUCUUUUUAUCUUGCUUGUGUUAAAAUUUCAUGACCAUAGGUGUAGUAGUUUAGGAGUUAUGAUUUUUCCAAGUCCAGUUUUAGAAUCUGUCCAAAUUCUGUACAGGUUUCGAAAAUUGGAUUGUUUGGCUAAGCUAAACUGAGAAUCAGCCCUUAGUAAUUAUAUAAGAAUUGUAGUACUUUCCUUAAUCUUUCCAACAAAUUUUGGAGCACCCUUUUUGGUGGUCUAGAGAUCAAGUUACAGCUGUUUGAACUAUAGAGUCUGAAUCUGUCCAAAUCUGGACAGCGAAGUAUGUUUGUAGUAACUGACUUUGAUAUGUAUUGUAUUAACCUGAGAUGUUUAUAAAUGAAUUGUAGACAAUUCUAUUAGCUUUCUAAAAAGUCUAGGAUCAUCUGAUUUGGAUGCCUGAAACUCCAGUUAUGAUUUUUUUGAAGUGAGUAGCCGAAUUCUGUCCAAAUCUGGACAGAAUUAAAGUUUAGCACUGUUUGACCUUUCAAACUGUCGAAUCAUGUUGUGAUGAUAAUAUAAGAGUUAUAGAGGACUUUCUAAGCUUUUCAGAAAGUCCUAGUUUACUAUUUUUGGAUGCAUAUUUUGUGAGCUAUGAAUAAAACAAUUAACUGCUGUGCUGCUGUCUAAAAAUUAUGCAAGUAUUAAAUUGUUGGCUUGAAGUUACUAUUGUUUGGCUAAGUAAGUUUAGCUGAUUCUUAAUUGGUGAAGUAAUGCUUUGUUGUAGUAAUUAUCAUGUUCUAUGGUUGUUGAUUGAGUAAAUAUCAUAAAUGGAGAUUGGUCGCUUAAGUUAAUCAUCUUGAAUAAAUGUUCCUCGUUAUCCUUAUUAGUUCGAAGCAAAUAGCAUCAAUAGGUUUAUUCCAGUUGUAAUCCGAGAGCUAUAUAGUGGGAAGUGCAUUUAGGCGCUUAAAGUCUUUUGCUUCUAGGUUAUGGUCAAAUGAGAUUAUGUAAUAUUUGAUGAUGCUCUACUUGCUAGGACAAAUAGUGUGAUGUGUUAGCUAAGCUAGUUAAUCCGAUGAAAUGGUUUAAAAAGUUAGUUAAAGUAUUUCUAUUCAAAUUCGAAGUUGUAGAUGUCCAAGGCUAAUAAGUUUAAAUUAUGGUAAUCGUUUGGUGUAUGUUCUAGUUAAAGAAGAUCCAUACAUGGUUCACGAUUGUUUGGUGUUUAAGUUAGGUUUGAUUGAUUAGAAGAUCAUGCUUGUUGUGUUAGAGUUAAUGUAUCUAGUGAUUACUUAUGUUUGCUUAUAAUGCUUUGCUAGAGAAUGUUUAAUCCUAUACCAUAUAACUUCAUAUAAUAUUGUACUAUUUCUUAUGUUCAUACAUGUGCAUUGUACAUCCAAAUAGGUACGCUAGCUGAAAAAUCGUGCGAAGCGAAGGGUGUGGAUCAAAACAACCCACAAGACAAUGUGAGGUGUUCAUAUGUGUCUAACUAAAAAUUUGUAAUCUUCCUCUCCACCAACUGAUUGUUAAUUUUCUGUCCUGGCAUUACUCCUUACCAUAUACACAACAAAAUAUAAUCUGUUCAUUUUUUGGCUAAUGUUACAGGUUGCCCAAAGUUUAAUCUAUUCAUUUUUGGCUAAUAUUACAGGUUGGCCAAACGCUUGGAACAAUGGAACUAUUGCAAAUUCCUUUUUAAAGACUACAACUUCUAUCGGACUAGGUACAACUAACAAAUCUUCUGCCAAUGCAUAUAACAUAUGUUUAUUGCUUCCAGCACACAUCACUUGCCAUGUCACAACUCCAACUAUAUUCACUGCAACUUUUCCAUAUUUUUCAGCAAUUUGCAUAACAGUACAUUGCAUUGCAGUUAAAUGAAUCUUCCAUAUUCAAAUUUAGAGAACCUUUCCACUUAGGUCCGCACACAAGAUUUUAUCAACAAUAUGAUUUGUACAUAAAGAGAAAAAGUUCCCUGCUGUAAACGACUAAAAAAAAGUUCCCUGCUGUAAACGCACAACAAAUCUUCCAAGAACUGAAUAUUGCCUCAUAUCAUCAUCAAUAUCUAUAGUUGUAGAAUGUCUAUUUUGCAUGCUCUGUAUAAUUAUAUAUGUACAUAUGUUUAGGCCUUCAAAAACAACUCAACUCCAUAUGCUACUGCAGAUGCUGAAACAGACCAACUAGCCUUGCACAACUCAACUAACACUGUUUUAUAUGAGCUUUCCUAUUUCAGAACUAUUGUAAGAUUUAUGUAAAUACAUAAAUUAGGACAUGCUGACAUGUUAUUGCAGGUGGUCAAGGCUCAGGAUUCAGAGUAGAAGAUGCACAUAAAUACUGGUGAAUGAUGCCAUCGACGAUGAUGAACUGAUGAAACGAUGGAUGAUGUCAUCGAUGAAAGAUGGAAUGGAACUCAAAUUUUGGUGGUCGCACAAGUGUGGAGACUUGAAUUCAUAUAUACUUAGUUAGGCUCAAUGUUAGCACAAACAGUUGAUGAGCAAGUUUUCCCAUUAGUAGUUUAGUUUGAAUUUAGAGUACAAU